rnacentral:rRNA from 1 species
GAUGAACGCUGGCGGCGUGCCUAAUACAUGCAAGUCGAGCGAACAGACGAGGAGCUUGCUCCUCUGACGUUAGCGGCGGACGGGUGAGUAACACGUGGAUAACCUACCUAUAAGACUGGGAUAACUUCGGGAAACCGGAGCUAAUACCGGAUAAUAUAUUGAACCGCAUGGUUCAAUAGUGAAAGACGGUUUUGCUGUCACUUAUAGAUGGAUACGCGCCGCUUUAGCUAGUUGUUACGGUCACGGCUUAUCAAGGCAACGAUGCGUAGCCGACCGGAGAGGGGGGUCGGCCACACUGGAACGUGACCACGGUCCCAGCUACUGAGGGAGGGAGCAGUAGGGAACCUUCCGCAAUGGGGGGAAACCUUGCGGAACAACGGCGCGUGAGUUGAGGAAGGCUUCCGAGCGGGAAAACCUGUUAUGAGGGGAAAACAAAUUUGGAAGGUAACGAAGACUGCGUGACGGUAACUGAUCAAGAAGCCCCGGCUAACUACGUG